AAGUCAAAAAGUGCCGCGUAUGACACUGGUGGUCAGUUCUGUCGACCUGUUCCUGUUACAUUUCGCUCAGACGAAUGCGUCGAAUGAGUGUAUAACGUUCGUUUUUGAACACGCAUCCGAAAUCUCAGAAAAACGAUAAGUCUGGUGGAAAUAAUAUUAAAAAUUACAAAACAUUCACGAAAAAGCAUCAGGAAAUAUUCGAAUAAAGCAUUUUUGUCAAACUUCUUUGUCGCUGCUUACAAAUGAGGCAAAACACUUCACACGAUUGCAGGGAUACUGGAAUCAAUUGAGACAAUGGGGACGACCUUCAAGAUUUUAGAGUGUAUCGUCAACGUUGCUCCCAGUUAUCGUGAAAAGACUUCAAUCGAUAUCAAACAAACAAAUGUUGGAUAGAAAAAUAAGGAGAGAAAAAUACACGCUCUGGAAGCAAGGGGCAGUUGGAAUCUUUCGAUCCGUAUGGCAUGAACGAUUUAUCUAUGAAUCCUGUAACUUGUCAAUGGUCGUGUAUGGAGGAGCCAGUAACCGCAUCGAUGUAAUCGCCAUACGUACAAAGGGACGCGUGUGCUUCCGUAUUCUACUAAUGGUAUACAGCACACAAGAGUUGCAGCAAGCAACAGCAGCAGCAAGAGAUUAAAAGUUGUAUCGGGAGUUUAAAAAAUUCCGAUUAAUUCUGGCACGUCUCUCAUCUCAACACGCAAUCAGACUCGCCAACCUAGAGUCUGCGACUGGCAAGUGAUUACGUGUAUUUCAUCAUUCUUUCUGCACCGAACACAAAUCCGUUUUCCAAAGUUGAACAACGCGCGUCAGGAUUGAGCUUCACUUUAACAUUUGCUGAAAGGUUUUACUCCGCCGGGUUCACGGGCUAUGUUUGACCUCAAUUUUUCCAAGAAUCUGAAGUGACGGACAUUUUUACCAACUGGGUUUGUGCUGAGCGCGAAAAAAAUGUAUACAAGAUCCUGGAAACUGCUCGUGAAAAAAAUGAGGCGGCUCUGCGCUGGGGCUGCAAAAAGAAUAUAGUCGAAGGGAAAUUCGCUUUUGUCCAUGAGCUUCAAGAAGAAACUUUCUCUCUACCGAAGUCUUCUUUGCCGAUCGCUUUUGAGCACAAAAUAGAGGAAUAAAAAAAUGUGCAUAAAAAGCAUGGCCCUGCCACCGAGAAAGCGUUUUUCUUCGAAUAACCCCGAGCCAAACGCGGGAGGAGCAGAGAAUUCGUUGGUGAAUCGAGGAAGAGAAGAGCGCCGCGGGGAGCUGAUAAUCGGGAAUAAAACCUUCGCGCAUAUAUACGUAUAUAUAAAUGUAACUUGAGGCUUUCAUAUAAAUAUAUCUUUAUACUUUUCGCAUCCGUUGGGAAUUCUAUACGGGCCGUGCGAACGCGGGUUCUCAACAGCCGCUUUAAUGCUGGCGAAUAGUGCUUCAAACUUUUCGAUUCAUUCGUCUGGUACGAGAUAUUUGCGGCUACGAAAGCUCCGGGGAACGUCGGUGGUCCCGUUAUUAUACCGCAUGCAAUUGCGACAGCCAGCUCCACGUAGAUUUUCUCGUGUCUCAUAGAAACGAGGACGUCUACCAUCUCUCCACUGGUUUGCUCAUUGUCGUUCAACACCGAGCCUCCAUUUUGCACGUUACAGUUUUUUUGUUUUUGCUUUAAGAAACAUUUUCAUUCUUUACUCUCUGUAACUGUCGUCGUCAUGUCGCAUACGAAUAAAUCGGGAACGCGCUCA